rnacentral:rRNA from 1 species
UGAGGAAUAUUGGUCAAUGGGCGAGAGCCUGAACCAGCCAAGUAGCGUGCAGGAUGACGGCCCUAUGGGUUGUAAACUGCUUUUAUAUGGGAAUAAAGUGAGGGACGUGUCCCUUAUUGCAUGUACCAUACGAAUAAGGACCGGCUAAUUCCGUGCCAGCAGCCGCGGUAAUACGGCAGGUCCAGGCGUUAUCCGGAUUUAUUGGGUUUAAAGGGAGCGUAGGCUGUUUGUUAAGCGUGUUGUGAAAUGUAAGAGCUCAACUUUUAGAUUGCAGCGCGAACUGGCAGACUUGAGUGCGCACAACGUAGGCGGAAUUCAUGGUGUAGCGGUGAAAUGCUUAGAUAUCAUGAAGAACUCCGAUUGCGAAGGCAGCUUACGGGAGCGCAACUGACGCUGAAGCUCGAAGGUGCGGGUAUCGAACAGG